rnacentral:rRNA from 1 species
AACGAACGCUGGCGGCAGGCUUAACACAUGCAAGUCGAACGGGUGUAGCAAUACAUCAGUGGCAGACGGGUGAGUAACACGUGGGAACCUUCCUCGUUGUACGGGACAACUCAGGGAAACUUGAGCUAAUACCGUAUACGUCCGAGAGGAGAAAGAUUUAUCGCAAUGAGACGGGCCCGCGUCGGAUUAGCUAGUUGGUGGGUAACGCCUACAAGGCGACGAUCCGUAGCUGAUCNGAGAGGAUGAUCAGCCACACUGGGACUGAGACACGGCCCAGACUCCGUACGGGAGGCAGCAGGU